ACUCGGAUACGUACGUACUGCUAGAGGCAGGACAAGAUGAACAGUUUGUGUCAGAAGACGAGCUCAAGGCUAAGCUCAAAGGCUGGCUCGAGAACUGGCCUGUAGAAUCUUUGCCACCGGACCUGGCAAGGUUCGAUAACCUUGAUGAAGCCGUUGAUUUCUUGGUUAAAGCUGUAUGUGAACUAGAGGUUUAUGGAGAAGUAGGUUCUGUUCAAUGGUAUCAAGUUCGUCUUGAGUAAUUAAAUGUAUUGUGUUUCUCUUAUUUAAUAAGCACAUGGUUCUGUAAGAAAAAUGGAGAAAUUUGCUUCUUCUUUUUUUUUUGUAACUAAUGGAGAAAUUUGCUAAAAUAGAACAAAAUUGACUACUAUUGUUCUAAUGAGAUAAUCUCAAUGUUGUUCCAUUAGUAUAGUGUCUACUGUAAUUCUAACUUCCUUUAUAUCUGCUGUACUAAAAGGACAAUGACCUAAGUGUUCAGUCUGUCCACCUAAGAAAAUUUAAUUAGCCAAUCAGGAGCUACCAAACUUCAACGUUUUUAACAAAAUCUUGGUGUAUGUAUUAAGAUGGAGAUAAAGAGUGGAAAACGGAGGACACAAAUCAUUAUGUUUAGAUCUCUGUUAGUGAUUAGUACGUUAAAGUGUCUGUUGAGACUGUUAAAAUUUUUCAUGAUAUUCAAACGUACAACCGAAUCUUCGGUGCACGAUCAAGGAGUUUAAGUUCAGGUACAUGUUAUACACUUCCAUUUAUGUGUGCUUGUGAUAAGACACGAACUGAAAGUACAUUAGUUUGGUUAAACUGAUAUAUCUUGAGCUAUAAUGUCAUUUGGAUUCAUUUUCUCUUGGCAGAGGAUGCAAGACCUCCCCUUCUUACUACGGGAAUGCUGGAUUCACAAAGAACACUUUCAAUUGUCAUCAGAGCUUGGGUUUACAAUUCAGUUAAUCUAGACAUCAUUCUUAAGCUUUGAUCUCUCUUCUUACACUUAUGAGACACAAUUGCAGAAGGUAGCCAGCAAGCAAAUCACUCUAAAAGUACAACAAAAACUCCGUUAGAUCCCCAAAUGCACUUGACAAAGAAUUCAGGUGAAGCGGUUUCGCAAAACGAGUAUGCAUAUGUGAUCGAAAGUCUCAUGUACUUGACUAAUUGUACGAGACCAGAUCUAGCGCAUGCAGUAAACGUACUCAGUUGAUAUACAAGUAAUCCAGGUCAUACACACUGGAAAGCUAUAACGAGGGUACUCAAUUACUUGUGCUACACCAAAGAUUUUGGGCUUCACUAUAGUAAAGAACCAACAGUUUUAGAAGGAUACAGUGAUGCUAACUAGAUAUCAGAUUCUAAAAACUCAAAAUCCACAAGUGGAUAUGUUUUUACACUAGGAGCAACAGCAAUAUCAUGGAAAUCUACCAAACAAACAGUGUUAGCCAGAUCCACCAUGGAAUCUGAGUUCAUAGCCUUAGACAAAGCAGCAUAAGAAGCUGAAUGGCUUAGAAAUUUUUUGGAAGAUAUUCCUAUGUGGGAGAAACUUGUGCUAGCUAUACGCAUACAUUGUGAUAGUCAAUCAAAUAUAGCUCGGGAUCAGAGUAAUCUCUACAAUGGUAAAUCUCGUCACAUCAGAAGACGACAUAAAACCAUUAGACAACUUAUCUCAACUGGUGUAAUCACAAUAGACUACAUCAAAUUGGCUGACAACUUAGCGGAUCCAUUUACAAAAGGUUUGCCACGAGAUGUUGUUGCUAAAUCAUCAAAAAGAAUGGGUUUAAAGCCUAUAACGAAUGAGGAUUUUUGAUUGCAACCCUACCUAUCAUGACUGGAGAUCCCAACACAAAGGUUCAAAGGGAAAACAAAAUCAAACAGAAUCUAACCAAAGCACUUGAGACAAAGUAGUCUCUUCCCAACUUCUAAGAUGAUAAAAGUGCUAACGAAUGUGAGAAGGAUAAGCAUAAGCUUUUAAUGAUUUCAUAGCUUCUAAAGCGGAGUAUCACUCAAUACUUUUCAUGGUCAAUCACCUAAUGAGUGUGAAAUGGGGCCGUUUCUAGGAGAAUGAAUGCAAGACUAUAUUCUCUAAGUUCACUCAUGAAAACCAGGAAUAGUUCAGGGCCACAAUGAACACAAUAGAGAACUAAGUUCUACGAGAAAAUGAAGCUGCGUUAUGCAUGUUGUCUCGGUCUACAUUAAACACUGGUUGGCUCAAGACAUCAUGCUCACCUUCUGGUAAAGUAAACCCGACAGAUAUUAACUAUGAGUGGUUCCAGGCUUAAAAAGGCCACCAACUCAAACACAAUGAAUUUUUCGCAAACACUCUCGAUAAGUUUGUCUAGUCUAGCCAGGAUUAGAAUAAAUAUAGUUUUUAGAGUUUAUCAAGUCUGCAUUUAGUCUGCAUAUGUUUAGAAAAUUCAUUUCUAUUUAUGUGGGGGAUUGUUGGGCAUAAUAUUAUAGCCUAAUGGCUAAAUUAAUAAAAGGCAAAAUGUGAAUACACAUGGGCCUACGGGUCACAUGGCAAAAGCCUGGUUGGCUUUAGUGAAUGGAACUUAAGAACAUCCCACAUCGGGGAAGUAGAGAGGAGAUGAGCAAUAUAUAUAUGUUCAUGUGUUAUGAGUGGUUAAACGGCUCAAGGAGAGAGGAAGACGGCGUGCAGCAACUGUUGCGGGAGGUGGCUCUCGUUCUUCUCUUUAAAUAUCGCCUCUCCUCUUCAUUCAUUUCUAAGCUUUCUCACAUCGAAACCAACAGAAAAAUUCACGUACCGUAAGUCAUAAAAUCCGAGAGUGUUUCAUAGAGUAUUUAGUUCGUUAGGGCGUUCACGAGUGAAGCGUGAAUCGUCUGCUAUGGUUGUAUCCUGGGACUCGAUAUUCGUACAGUUCCGUCUCACUAACGGAGCGAAUAUUUAGAGGAAAGAGAUUAUAUCUCGACUCCAUGUUCAGUCGCGAAUAUGAUCUCUUAUCGUUUUUAUAUUCGCUUUUACAAUCGUCAAUUUCCUUAAGAUAUCGCUUUUAUUAUAUCGUUUUUGUCAGUCCGGUUAUCCGGCUUCUGCAAAUGUGACAAUCCAUAAUCUUCUAAAUGAUAUUAGCAUAUGGAGUGACAAACAGCACACUCCUACUCAUAUUUUUGUUAAAAAGAUCUGGUAACAAAGCAUCGUAUACGUUAGUUGGAAAGGGGAAAUGGUCUUUUACACUUUAGCUACUAGAUGAUAUAACUCACUUACCAAGUUAUUUUAAUAGCCAAAAUAUAUAGUAUUAUCAUUAUGUGUAUCAUAAUUAUUUUCUCGUAAAAUGUAUCUGAAUCUAAAAUAGUAUUAAGCAAACCUGAAUGAAUAACCCGAAAACUCCAAUCGACUUAGUAUCCUAAAUAAGUUUUUAAAAUUUAAUAAUUAUUUCAAAUACUUAAUUAUAUAUUUAUUUUGAUAUAAUAUCUAAAAAUAUAUAAAAUUUGAAUAAAUACUUCAAAUAAUCAAUUUCAGGUUUAUUUGGUAUGCUAUAUUAAAAGUAACUAAACCCAAACUAAAAUAACCCAAUCAAAUCCAAGAUAAGUACGAGCAUAAAUGAGUUUUGGUAUGAGUUACAAAUUAUAUCAAAACCCAAAAUGUUAUUUAUCCAACCUCUGCUAAAAUGAUAUUCGAUUGGGGCUGAAGAGGCUAAACUCAAACUGUCUGGUCCGAAUCCGAGCGGAUACACAAUCGGCAUGAGAAUUGAUAAAAGUAAAACUAAAAUGGUCUAAUUUUUAUGAUUUUUAUUGGAUAAAAACUAAUUAUGGAAAAGGACAACUAUAUUUGGGCCAAUUAAGGUCAUUAACGGCCCAUUAAUAUAUAGAUUUCACUAGAAAUUAUGAGAAAAAUCCGUUGGUGUAUGCUAGUCGUCAUAUCAUCUUAUCUACAAGAAGCUUAUAUUGCUCCUACUACAAUACAAAAGAGUGUUGAAGUAUUUUUGCCAGGAAAUCAAAAUGGAGAUUUCUCUGCAGAAACAUUUUUUUAACAGUGGAGAUAAGCUCUUCAACUGUAAGCUCGUAAUACUUUUCUUCUUCAACUAGACUUUUGUCUUCUCACCCUAACAAAUUGAUUUUUCAACUUCCUUGUUUCUUUAUUUACUCUCAGCUCGACAAAACCAGUGGGCUUGGAUUGAAAGAUUUCAAGCAACAGAAUUUCUUCCUGCAAACUCCACAAACCUUUUUCAUGAUCCCAUAAGUUGUCCAAUGUUGGGCAUUUUGACUCCAAGAAAGAGCAAAAACCAUUUAAGUGUAAGUGUUGAUAUAUAAACUGAAUUUUGAUAGUAAAACAUUGCUAAAAUUUUCAGAAAUUAAUAUAUCUAUAAAUAUAUAUAUGUAUGUAUAAGUUUCAUUGGAACCCAGAAAAUGCUUUUGCUAUUAAACAGAACUUGUAUAAGUUUCAUUGGAACCCAGAAAAUGCUUUUGCUAUUAAACAGAACUUUACCAUUUAUUUUAAUUUACCGGAUCGUUGAUUAAUUAAAUUCAAAGACAUUUUGUGGUUUAGAACAAAAAGACAAAGAUUUUUUUGGUUUGUCAUUUGAAUUUUACAAUAAAAUCACUUAAUAGGUUUUGUUAUUUUAUUUGGCAUAUUUUUCAUUUUCUAAUUUCUAUGAUUCUAUUACUUCUUAACCAUACCCUAUGUUAGCUAAAUUCAUUAGUUGCAUAGAGAAUUUUUUUUGAAAAGAUCUUGAUAAAUAUUUGAACUUAAAUAAACGGAUGUGAAUAUAUAACUUAGGUUUGUGCACAGGUUUCUGCAAUAAGGAGCAGAAGAGUGCAUUCGAACUCGGAUACGUACGUACUGCUAGAGGCAGGACAAGAUGAACAGUUUGUGUCAGAAGACGAGCUCAAGGCUAAGCUCAAAGGCUGGCUCGAGAACUGGCCUGUAGAAUCUUUGCCACCGGACCUGGCAAGGUUCGAUAACCUUGAUGAAGCCGUUGAUUUCUUGGUUAAAGCUGUAUGUGAACUAGAGGUUUAUGGAGAAGUAGGUUCUGUUCAAUGGUAUCAAGUUCGUCUUGAGUAAUUAAAUGUAUUGUGUUUCUCUUAUUU
rnacentral:lncRNA from 1 species